CAUCGCGUUUGCCGGCAACCGGAGCAUCGAUUCAUCUCCUUGUUGGUCACCGUCGCCUAAAAUCAAUCCAUCACCCACGGAAGCUCGAUCGGCGGCUCUCCCUCACACAUUGCAGAGACAUAACAGAUAGAUAGGAUUUAGAUGAGGCGCGCCAAAAAUCUCUGCAACUACCAAUCAUCGUCCAUGGCGUUCUCUCUCUCCUUCACCAUCAUCCCUCACACUAGGGUUUCCAUAAAUGUCUCCCUUACUCCAAUUCAACCUUUUUUCUCAAUCCUUCUUUCCUCAAUUCGAUCCAAGAGAACUCGCAGAGAACACACAGUAACUCCAAUUCGCCCCACACUUGGCCGCAUCCUCACCAAAAACCCUUCAAUGGUUCUUCUUUUAGGAUUCUCUGGAGGACAUCUCAUACUUGCUAAGGAUUCCACAAAGAAAGCCCUAUGGGACAAUGGAGGGUAAUGUGAAGAAAGCUCUAAUGUUGUUGGGUUGGAUUUGGUGGAUGAUGAAAGCAAGCUUGAAGGACGCCCCACAAAACAUAUGCCUACACCGGCUCAGUGGACUAAUAUGUUCAAUCCUGCAUUCUCAUACUAUGUGUACUACUGUUACGCAAAUCUUUUCACUUUAAAUAAGGUAUGGGACCUUGUUACUAGAAGACUUUUACAAACUCGAGCUUUUCCACUACCAAUUACUGCAAUAGUUGUUGAUCCAACAGAGAUGAAAUUAUUUUCUGGUGGUAUAGAUUACUAGUGAAUAUUUCUUUUUUGUAUACAGAGGACAUCAUUUUUGUAUGAUUAUCUUUUUGUAUGGAAUUAUUAUUUUGGGUUGGAUUAUAUUUGGUUUGUAUAGAAUUUGAUAUUACAUGACCAAA